AUUAUGCAUUCUAUACUGGUUAAAGAAGUUGACUAUCAAAAUCAUAUACCAUAAGUCAAAAGCCUCAUACAGGUAAUGCUUCAUAUUUAAGCUCUAUUUUUUAAUCCUAGUCGUACCAUCAACAUGUUAAUUUGUGUUUUAAUAAGCAUUUAGAUUACUUUCAGAAAGAAAACUAUGUUUAAAAGAUGUUUAUCAUGUUAUUUUAGAAUUUUCAUUAAAUUUAGUUUCUAAGGGUUUUUUGGGUGAACGAAAUUUGUAUGGCUACGCGUCUAGUGCUGAAUAGUAUUUUACUUAAACGUGUUUAGAUAGUUGAUUAAAAGUUAUAUUCAAACAUACGAUUUGCUUAUUUCAGAGUUAUUAGAUAAACUUUAUUUUAAUUUAUUUAAUGUAAAAUUGUAAACAAAACUAAAAUAUAUAUUUAAAUUAGUUAUAAUUAAAAAAGAAGUACUUUAGAAUGAAUAUUACGCUAAGACAGAUUAACAUGGCAAAACAAGAAAACAGGAUUUCUUUUAAUAAAACAGAAAUUUAUACAUAGAUAACCUAUUGCAGGAAAGUGAAACAGGGUAACAUAUAAAAAUCAUACCCGCUGAAUAAAAGUUUCAGAGUUUGAUCAGCAUAAAAGCAAAAUCUCUCCAGCAUCUGAACUUUGGGCAUGAUACAUAGUCCGAAACAGUGCAGCCAACCAAUUUAGAUAAACCUUUGCAUCAUCACCAAAUUAUCUGCUACUUUAAAUUCAUCAGCUUCAUGGGAAACAAUCAUAUCCACCAGCCUUUGCCUGAAAUCCAAGGAUUUAAACUAAAAAAAAUAAUAAAACACUUAUGGAAGUUCAUGACAUUAGUUACUAACAGUCUCGUGGCAAACUCUGGGAUUAAAUCACAGGAUAAUAGCCCCCAAAACUCAAUUACCAGUUCCCUUAAAUUCUGAGAGAGGAGAAAAGAUAGAACAGAAGUGACUAUCUGUGAUUCAGUAUGCUAUUUGCUGAAUAUUCUGCGUGCCAUGAUAGUGGAUGAACCAGGAAGUGCUGGUCUAUGGUCAUUACCUGCAGAAGGGAUAAAAUUAUGCCAAGUCCUUGAGUUCCAUGCUCUAGGUUCUACAGUUCCAGAUCCCACCUUUGAAUAAGAGUACAUAAGUUUCACUAUUCAUCUGAAAAAUAAAAAACUAACACAACAGAAAAUAGUGCUAAGAAAUGACUCCACCAGCCAUCAUAACAAGAGACAACUGACAAGUAAAGAAGCCGAAUUCCUGUGCGGGGCAGUAUAUAAACAGAUCAAAAUGACCUGUAUGUAAUAAAAAAUCAAAAUAAUCUGCAUGCCUCCCGAACUGAAAACUGCCACAACAAAAUUUUGAAGGUUUAAAUCAGUCAAAAUUUGUCCAGUUUUAUUUGAACCUAAGUGUGAUAAUGAAUACAGAUCUCUCUGCAUUUCCAACAUUCUAUCUAAUCAACAGAAAGAAGGGUUUUAUAAGAUAGUCACCGAAAUAAAACUAGGGUUGUUCAAGUAAGAUAGAUUAUACGCUUCACCAAACAAGGUUAAUAGACGUGAUAUGAUAACUUCUCGAUUAUCUGUCUGAAGCAAUAUUUUGAGGGAAUUCAUUUUCCAGACCCUAUUAUUCAUAUGUCACUCAGCAUGCAUCUUCUGCACAGAGUAGCACGAAAUCCAACCAACCAGAGAGGUUUAUCUUCUCCUCAUCACUAGUGGUGAACGAUUUUUUUUUUUAAUCUAAACAUUCAAACGAAUAAAACUUGAAUCCAGAACGGUUGGUUUUACUGCAAAAUCAAUCAGUGAGUGAGCAAAACAAGUAAUUUCAAAUGAGAAAACUCUUUACCUUCUCGUGUCUCAUGCAAUUCAAUUGAAUAGCAAUUACAUUCUUGAGACCCGGACCCAACCAAUCAAUCAAACCAUUCUAACAAUUCAUCAAUUAACAAAAAAUUAAUAAAAUAACAAAACAAUUAGUCACCCUCCUUCCGUUGAACCAAUCGCCGUCCGCCGCCGCCGCGGCGGAAGGGAGAGCAAAUGCAAUCUGAACCAAUCCUCGGCGCCAUGAAAAGCUUAAAAGGGGGAAAAUUUUCAUCUUCACUUUGGGCAGAUAAUAAUAAAACGGGAGGGUAAUUGAGUAAUUUAGGUCAAAAUGUGGCAGUUUAGUAAUAAGCGGAAGUUCAGAAGGGCAAUUAGAGAGAAGCAUCCCUAUAAAUAACGAGGUCCCUUCCGCGCAGCGCAUUCUCUUCUUCUCACACUUUUCUCUUACAAUCUCUCUCUCUAUCUCUAUUCUCUUUCUCUCUCUUCUUCUCUAUUCUCUCUCUACCUCAUCUCUUAUUUUGUUUUUAUUAAAUCUUUGAUAAUUGCCAGAUUCCGGCCACAAGUUUCUGUCCUCCCUCUCUCUCUCCCAUCACAUCGUCUUCACCAUAGCGUGCCCCAUCCGUUUCGUGUCAAUUUACCCUUUUACCCCUCUAGUUUCCGUAUUUACCAUUUUACCCCUCACUUUUCACCCGAAGAUAGAUAACAUAAUUACCGUUCUUUUUCAUUAUUUGAAAACAAAACUAUUUGUGUCAGUUUUGUUUCGAGGGUGGUUUGGUAGUGACGUGGCAUGCGGAUAGAGAGCCAUGAAUACCAAAACGAUGCGUCUCCCCCCUCGUCGUGUGUUGACACCUACCAAUAAGCGCAAAGAGAGAGAUGACCCAUUUGACAGGCCCAAGCCCAUACCCCCACCACCCACCACCAAAAUACUCAAGCCCGAUAGGCCCGUCGAGCCGAUCACCGCCACCAGCAAAGCCGCCUUCGAGGAGCCCAAGCCCUCCAACCAACUCUUAGCGGGCUACCUGGCCCACGAGUUCCUCACCAAGGGGACCCUACUAGGCCAGCCGUGGGCCCCACCCAAAGGAAAGUCGACGGAGGACGGCGACGAGGAAGCAGAACCCACGGCGGCCGCGCCGUGCCAGAGGACGGAGGAGGAGCGGGAAAGGUACGCCGAAGUGGCGAGUUUGUUGAAGGGUGGUGGGACCCAGCUCCCCGGCGUGGUGAACCCCACCCAACUCGCCCGUUUCUUGCACUUGUGA
rnacentral:lncRNA from 1 species